rnacentral:rRNA from 1 species
GAAGCUGCGGCAGCCUAACCAUGCAAGUCGUACGGAGAGUGGGGCGACUCACUCUCAGUGGCAAACGGGUGAGUAACACGUGAAUAACCUGCCUUUGAGAAGGGGAUAACUGUCCGAAAGGAUAGCUAAUACCCUAUAUUGCCUUUUGUCACUAAGGCAAAAGGUGAAAGCGAGGCUGUCAAAGGCUUCGGCUCAAAGAGGGGUUCGCGUCCUAUCAGGUAGUUGGUGGGGUAAUGGCCUACCAAGCCAAUGACGGGUAGCUGGUCUUAGAGGAUAAUCAGCCACAGUGGGACUGAGACACGGCCCGCACCCCUACGGGGGGCAGCAGUGGGGAAUCGUGGGCAAUGGGCGCAAGCCUGACCCCGCAAUGCCGCGUGAGGGAAGAAGCCCUUCGGGGUGUAAACCUCUGUCAGAUGGGAAGAUGGGACUAGGGGCUAAUACCUCCUAGUCUUGACGGUACCAUCAGAGGAAGGGACGGCUAACUACGUGCCAGCAGCCGCGGUAAU